UACGUAGGGUGCGAGCGUUAAUCGGAAUUACUGGGCGUAAAGCGUGCGCAGGCGGUUUUGUAAGUCAGAUGUGAAAUCCCCGGGCUUAACCUGGGAACUGCGUUUGAAACUACAAGGCUAGAGUGUGGCAGAGGGGGGUGGAAUUCCACGUGUAGCAGUGAAAUGCGUAGAGAUGUGGAGGAACACCGAUGGCGAAGGCAGCCCCCUGGGUUAACACUGACGCUCAGGCACGAGAGCGUGGGGAGCAAACAGG
rnacentral:rRNA from 1 species